rnacentral:rRNA from 1 species
AAAGCGAGCGGCGGAUGGGUGAGUAACACGUGGGGAACCUGCCCCUAAGUCUGGGAUACCAUUUGGAAACAGGUGCUAAUACCGGAUAAUAAAGCAGAUCGCAUGAUCAGCUUUUGAAAGGCGGCGUAAGCUGUCGCUAAGGGAUGGCCCCGCGGUGCAUUAGCUAGUUGGUAAGGUAACGGCUUACCAAGGCGACGAUGCAUAGCCGAGUUGAGAGACUGAUCGGCCACAUUGGGACUGAGACACGGCCCAAACUCCUACGGGAGGCAGCAGUAGGGAAUCUUCCACAAUGGACGCAAGUCUGAUGGAGCAACGCCGCGUGAGUGAAGAAGGUUUUCGGAUCGUAAAGCUCUGUUGUUGGUGAAGAAGGAUAGAGGUAGUAACUGGCCUUUAUUUGACGGUAAUCAACCAGAAAGUCACGGCUAACUACGUGCCAGCAGCCGCGGUAAUACGUAGGUGGCAAGCGUUGUCCGGAUUUAUUGGGCGUAAAGCGAGCGCAGGCGGAAAAAUAAGUCUAAUGUGAAAGCCCUCGGCUUAACCGAGGAACUGCAUCGGAAACUGUUUUUCUUGAGUGCAGAAGAGGAGAGUGGAACUCCAAGUGUAGCGGUGGAAUGCGUAGAUAUAUGGAAGAACACCAGUGGCGAAGGCGGCUCUCUGGUCUGCAACUGACGCUGAGGCUCGAAAGCAUGGGUAGCGAACAGGAUUAGAUACCCUGGUAGUCCAUGCCGUAAACGAUGAGUGCUAAGUGUUGGGAGGUUUCCGCCUCUCAGUGCUGCAGCUAACGCAUUAAGCACUCCGCCUGGGGAGUACGACCGCAAGGUUGAAACUCAAA